UGGCGGACGGGUGAGUAAUGUCUGGGAAACUGCCUGAUGGAGGGGGAUAACUACUGGAAACGGUAGCUAAUACCGCAUAACGUCGCAAGACCAAAGAGGGGGACCUUCGGGCCUCUUGCCAUCGGAUGUGCCCAGAUGGGAUUAGCUAGUAGGUGGGGUAACGGCUCNCCUAGGCGACGAUCCCUAGCUGGUCUGAGAGGAUGACCAGCCACACUGGAACUGAGACACGGUCCAGACUCCUACGGGAGGCAGCAUG
rnacentral:rRNA from 1 species